rnacentral:rRNA from 1 species
AUGCGGCGGCAGAUGGCGAUCACGGUGAGGCGGUCCACGAUGGUGCGGCCGGCGGUGGAGAGGCCGCGGGAGAGGCUCUGGAACUCCAACCUCGACCUCGUGGUCCCGCGCUUCCACACGCCCAGCGUCUACUUCUACCGCCGCCCCGAGGCGGGGGCCGACGGCUUCUUCGACGCCGACCGGAUGCGCCUCGCGCUGGCCGACGCGCUCGUGCCCUUCUACCCCAUGGCCGGCCGCCUCGCGCGCGACGAGGACGGCAGGGUCGAGAUCGACUGCAGCGGGGAGGGGGUGCUCUUCGUCGAGGCCGACGCCCCCGGCGCGGCCGUCGACGACUACGGGGACUUCGCGCCCACCAUGGACCUCAAGCGCCUCAUCCCCGCCGUCGACUACUCGGACGACAUAUCCUCCUUCCCGCUCCUCGUGCUUCAGGUGACCUACUUCAAGUGUGGUGGUGUCUCCCUUGGUGUCGGGAUGCAACACCAUGUUGCUGAUGGCAUGUCUGGCUUGCACUUCAUCAACUCGUGGUCUGACCUCUGCCGUGGAGCUAAGAUUGCAGUGAUGCCCUUCAUCGACCGCACUCUUGUCCGUGCUCGUGAUCCACCGACUCCAUCUUACCCACAUAUUGAGUAUCAGCCUGCCCCAGCCAUGUUGUCGUCCGUGCCUCAGGCUCUCAGUGGCAAGCCAACGCCGCCUCCCACUGCUGUGGACAUCUUCAAGCUCACCCUCUCAGAGCUUGGCUGCCUGCGCUCGCAGCUCCCCACAGGUGAAGGUGCGCCAAGGUUCAGCACGUAUGCAGUCUUAGCUGCACAUGUUUGGCGCUGCGUCUCCAUUGCGCGCAACCUUGCUCCUGAACAACCCACCAAGCUGUAUUGUGCCACCGAUGGGCGACAACGGCUGCAGCCCCCGCUGCCAGAAGGUUACUUUGGGAAUGUCAUCUUCACUGCCACCCCGCUCGCCGAGGCAGGCAAGGUGACGAGCGGGCUGGCAGAAGGAGCAGCGGUCAUCCAGGGAGCGCUAGACAGGAUGACCAGCGACUACUGCCAAUCAGCCCUGGACUACCUGGAGAUGCAGCCGGACCUGUCAGCAUUGGUCCGUGGAGCGCACACUUUCCGGUGCCCCAACCUCGGCCUCACCAGCUGGGUGCGCCUGCCGAUCCACGACGCCGAUUUCGGCUGGGGGCGGCCGGUGUUCAUGGGUCCUGGCGGCAUCGCGUACGAGGGACUGGCGUUCGUCCUCCCGAGCGCGACCAAGGACGGCAGCCUGUCCAUCGCCAUCUCAUUGCAGGCAGAGCACAUGGAGAAGUUCAGGAAGCUGAUCCUUGAUGUGUAG